rnacentral:rRNA from 1 species
UGGGGGAUAUUGCACAAUGGAGGAAACUCUGAUGCAGCAACGCCGCGUGAGGGAAGACGGUUUUCGGAUUGUAAACCUCUGUCUUCAGGGAAGAUUAUGACGGUACCUGAAGAGGAAGCUCCGGCUAACUACGUGCCAGCAGCCGCGGUAAUACGUAGGGAGCAAGCGUUGUCCGGAUUUACUGGGUGUAAAGGGUGCGUAGGCGGCUUAUCAAGUCAGGCGUGAAAACUAUGGGCUUAACCCAUAGACUGCGUUUGAAACUGAUGAGCUUGAGUGAAGUAGAGGUAGGCGGAAUUCCCGGUGUAGCGGUGAAAUGCGUAGAGAUCGGGAGGAACACCAGUGGCGAAGGCGGCCUACUGGGCUUUAACUGACGCUGAGGCACGAAAGCAUGGGUAGCAAACA